GGGCCCGCACAAGCAGUGGAGCAUGUGGUUUAAUUCGAUGCAACGCGAAGAACCUUACCAGGGUUUGACAUCCUGCGAAUCUCUUGGAAACGAGAGAGUGCCUUCGGGAGCGCAGUGACAGGUGGUGCAUGGCUGUCGUCAGCUCGUGUCGUGAGAUGUUGGGUUAAGUCCCGCAACGAGCGCAACCCACGUCUUUAGUUGCCAGCAUUUAGUUGGGCACUCUAGAGAGACCGCCGGUGAUAAACCGGAGGAAGGUGUGGAUGACGUCAAGUCAUCAUGCCCCUUACAUCCUGGGCUACACACGUACUACAAUGCUACGGACAAAGAGCAGCAAGUUCGCGAGGACAAGCAAAUCUCAUAAACCGUGGCUCAGUUCAGAUCGUAGGCUGCAACUCGACUCCGUGAAGUCGGAAUUGCUAGUAAUCG
rnacentral:rRNA from 1 species